rnacentral:rRNA from 1 species
GACGAACGCUGGCGGCGUGCCUAAUACAUGCAAGUCGAGCGGACUGAUUAAGAUCUUGCUCUUAUGACGUUAGCGGCGGACGGGUGAGUAACACGUGGGCAACCUGCCCUGUAGAUCGGGAUAACACCGAGAAAUCGGUGCUAAUACCGGGUAAUAUCUGAGAUCACAUGAUCUUAGGUUAAAAGAUGGCUCCGGCUAUCACUACAGGAUGGGCCCGCGGCGCAUUAGCUAGUUGGUAAGGUAAUGGCUUACCAAGGCGACGAUGCGUAGCCGACCUGAGAGGGUGAGCGGCCACACUGGGACUGAGACACGGCCCAGACUCCUACGGGAGGCAGCAGUAGGGAAUCUUCCGCAAUGGACGAAAGUCUGACGGAGAAACGCCGCGUGAGUGAUGAAGGGUUUCGGCUCGUAAAGCUCUGUUGUUAGGGAAGAAACAGUACCGAACGAACUAGGUCGGUACCUUGACGGUACCUAACCAGAAAGCCACGGCUAACUACGUG